rnacentral:rRNA from 1 species
GAUGAACGUUGGCGGCGUGCCUAAUACAUGCAAGUCGAACGAAGACUGUAGUAAUACUGUCUUAGUGGCGAACGGGUGAGUAACGCGUGGGUGACCUGCCCCGAAGUGUGGGAUAACAGUUCGAAAGGAUUGCUAAUACUGCAUAAUAUCCAAGAGAUUAGACGCUUUUGGAUUAAAGGAGUAAUUCGCUUCGGGAGGGGCCCGCGUCCCAUCAGCUAGUUGGUAAGGUAAUGGCUUACCAAGGCGAUGACGGGUAGGGGACCUGAGAGGGUGGCCCCCGACAAAGUGGAACUGAAACACGGUCCAUACACCUACGGGUGGCAGCAGUAGGGAAUAUUAGUAAUGGGCGAAAGCCUGAACUAGCAACGCCGCGUGUGCGAAGAAGGCCUUCGGGCUGUAAAGCACUUUUUGAGAGGAUGAGGAAGGACGGUACUCUCAGAAUAAGUCUCGGCUAACUACGUG